AACGAACGCUGGCGGCAUGCCUAACACAUGCAAGUCGAACGAGACCUUCGGGUCUAGUGGCGCACGGGUGCGUAACGCGUGGGAACCUGCCCUUAGGUUCGGAAUAACUCCCCGAAAGGGGUGCUAAUACCGGAUAAUGUCUUCGGACCAAAGAUUUAUCGCCUUUGGAUGGGCCCGCGUUGGUUUAGCUAGUUGGUAGGGUAAAAGCCUACCAAGGCGUCGAUCCAUAGCUGGUCUGAGAGGAUGAUCAGCCACACUGGGACUGAGACACGGCCCAGACUCCGACGGGAGGCAGCAGUGGGGAAUAUUGGACGAUGGGCGAAAGCCUGACCCAGCAAUGCCGCGUGAGUGAUGAAGGCCGUAGGGUUGUAAAGCUCUUUUACCCGAGAUGAUAAUGACAGUACCGGGAGAAGAAGCACCGGCUAACUCCGUG
rnacentral:rRNA from 1 species